rnacentral:rRNA from 1 species
GACGGAAGGUGCAAGCGUUGCUCGGAAUCACUGGGCGUAAAGGGUGCGUAGGCGGCUUGGUAAGUUGGGUGUGAAAGCCCCCGGGCUCAGCCCGGGAAGGGCACUCGAAACUGCCGAGCUGGAGUGCCGGAGGGGAGAGUGGAAUUCCUGGUGUAGCGGUGAAAUGCGUAGAUAUCAGGAGGAAUACCGGUGGCGAAAGCGACUCUCUGGACGGCAACUGA